rnacentral:rRNA from 1 species
UAGGGAAUCUUCCACAAUGGCGAAAGCCUGAUGGAGCAACGCCGCGUGUGUGAUGAAGGGUUUCGGCUCGUAAACACUGUUGUAAGAGAAGAAUGACAUUGAGAGUAACUGUUCAAUGUGUGACGGUAUCUUACCAGAAAGGAACGGCUAAAUACGUGCCAC